rnacentral:rRNA from 1 species
UACGGAGGGUGCAAGCGUUAUCCGGAUUCACUGGGUUUAAAGGGUGCGUAGGUGGGCAGGGAAGUCAGUGGUGAAAUCUCCGGGCUUAACCCGGAAACUGCCGUUGAUACUAUCUGUCUUGAAUGUAGUGGAGGUGAGCGGAAUAUGUCAUGUAGCGGUGAAAUGCUUAGAUAUGACAUAGAACAUCGAUUGCGAAGGCAGCUAGCUACACUAUGAUUGACACUGAGGCACGAAAGCGUGGGGAUCAAACAGG